rnacentral:rRNA from 1 species
CCUACGGGUGACAGCAGUGAGGAAUAUUGGUCAAUGGACGGAAGACUGAACCAGCCAAGCCGCGUGAGGGAUGAAGGUACUGAGUAUUGUAAACCUCUUUUGUCAGGGGACAAACUCUGGCACGUGUGCCCGUUUGCGUGUACCUGAUGAAAAAGCAUCGGCUAACUCCGUGCCAGCAGCCGCGGUAAUACGGAGGGUGCGAGCGUUAUCCGGAUUUAUUGGGUUUAAAGGGUGCGCGGGCGGUCUGUUAAGUCAGCGGUAAAAGCCCGGGGCUCAACCCCGGCCCGCCGUUGAAACUGGCAGUCUGGAGUUGGGGAGAGGUAUGCGGAAUGCGCGGUGUAGCGGUGAAAUGCAUAGAUAUCGCGCAGAACUCCGAUUGCGAAGGCAGCAUGCCGG